rnacentral:rRNA from 1 species
AUGUGGGCUAACGGCAGCAGCCGGAUGCAAUACAAAUUCUUUGGUGACGCAGUUACCUUCGAUACCACUUAUCGGACCAACUUGUACGAUAUGCCGUUUGGGCUAUUUGUAGGAGUUAACAACCACUACCAGAGUAUCAUAUUGGCAGGGGUUUUGAUGCGUGACGAAUUAGAAGAGAGCUUUGAAUGGAUGUUGGAGGAGUUUGUCCGUAUGAUGGGCGGCCCUGCGCCGAAAACAAUACUAACAGGUAGUGAUCAAUGCAGAGCCAUGGAGGUUGCAAUCAAGAGAACUUAUCCCGAUACAGUCCACCCUUGGUGCAAAUGGCAUGUCCUGAAAAAGGCGAAGGAAACGGUAGGUCCGUUGUACACCAAGAAGAGUGACUUCCAGGCUGAAUUCCACAAAGUUGUUAACCACAUGCUAACCGAGGAAGAGUUUGAGUCAGCCUGGGAAGCGCUGCUCGAUAAGUACAGUUUGAGGAAUCAUAACUACAUGGCCCAAAUCUAUGAGACCAGAAGGAAAUGGGCAAAACCAUAUUUCAGGGGCGUGUUCUGUGCAAAAAUGACAAGCACUCAAAGGAGCAAGAGCGCAAACCACAUGCUCAAAUCGUACAUCUCACCUGCCAGCCCAAUGCAUGUUUUCGUCAGGCAAUACGUGAAACUGCAAUUUGAUCGUGAACGCGACGAAAGCUACGAGGAGAAGAGAACUAUGAUUGGCGGUGUGGUCAGACGUACUAACCUUGCAAUAGAGCGUCACGCCAGCAAGGUUUAUACAAGGAGCAUGUUUGAGGAAUUUGGGCGACUACUGAUCGAAGCAACCGCAUACAAUGUUACUGAAGUGGUAAAGAUGAAGAAGUACAUCACGACUCACAACAAUGCCGCAAAGAGAGAGAAGUGGAGCAGAGUUGAGUAUGAGGUGACCAUUAAUGAUGACCAAUCAAUAUUCACCUGUGAGUGCGGCCAGUUUGAGCACAUGGGGAUGAUAUGCAGCCAUACGUUGAGGGUUAUGGAAAUUCUUCAUCUAGAAGAGAUCCCUAAAUACCACAUCCUAAAACGGUGGACAAGGGACGCGAGAGACAUACUACCAGGUCACUUGUCCAGUACCAGAGAGACAAUUCACAGAACCAGUCGUGCGGCUGGGGGACGCAAGUGCUGCAUGCUAUGA